UUCGGAAUGCCGGGGCGAGGAGGAG
rnacentral:piRNA from 1 species